rnacentral:rRNA from 1 species
UACGUAGGCAGCAAGCGUUGUUCGGAGUUACUGGGCGUAAAGGGUGUGUAGGCGGUUCUUUAAGUUUGGGGUGAAAUCUCCCGGCUUAACCGGGAGGGUGCGCCGAAUACUGAGGGACUCGAGUGCGGGAGAGGAAAGUGGAAUUCCUGGUGUAGCGGUGAAAUGCGUAGAUAUCAGGAGGAACACCGGUGGUGUAGACGGCUUUCUGGACCGUAACUGACGCUGAGACACGAAAGCGUGGGUAGCAAACAGG